UGGGGAAUAUUGGACAAUGGGCGCAAGCCUGAUCCAGCCAUACCGCGUGGGUGAAGAAGGCCUUCGGGUUGUAAAGCCCUUUUGUUGGGAAGAAAAGCAUUCGGUUAAUACCCGAUUGUUCUGACGGUACCCAAAGAAUAAGCACCGGCUAACUUCGUGCCAGCAGCCGCGGUAAUACGAAGGGUGCAAGCGUUACUCGGAAUUACUGGGCGUAAAGCGUGCGUAGGUGGUUGUUUAAGUCUGUCGUGAAAGCCCUGGGCUCAACCUGGGAAUUGCGAUGGAAACUGGGCGACUAGAGUGUGGCAGAGGGUAGUGGAAUUCCUGGUGUAGCAGUGAAAUGCGUAGAGAUCAGGAGGAACAUCCGUGGCGAAGGCGACUGCCUGGGCCAACACUGACACUGAGGCACGAAAGCGUGGGGAGCAAACAGGAUUAGAUACCCUGGUAGUCCACGCCCUAAACGAUGCGAACUGGAUGUUGGGUGCAAUUUGGCACGCAGUAUCGAAGCUAACGCGUUAAGUUCGCCGCCUGGGAGUACGGUCGCAAGACUGAAACUCAAAUGAAUUGACGGGGUCAUAGCUG
rnacentral:rRNA from 1 species